rnacentral:sRNA from 2 species
UUAUUGGCAUAACAAUAACAAGGUCGUAAGACGAUAUUUUCCGCCAACGCUAUUCUGGCGGAAUUAACACACUGCCCUCUUUCCUUUGGCCGAGCGGUAUCCCGAAAACCACGACGAACGCGAUCGGGGACAAUAAAUUAUUUGGCCGCUCUUUUU